ANCGGCCACGGUACCCUAACCGUGCGAAGGUAGCACAAUCACUUGUUCUCUAAAUAAGGACCAGUAUGAACGGCACCACGAAGACUACACGUCUCCUUUCUGCAAUCAGUGAAACUGAUCUUCCCGUGAAGAAGCGGGAAUUACUAUAUAAGACGAGAAGACCCCAUGAAGCUUCAAAUUAAAUACCAACUGCCACUUACAACACCACCCCAGCUUAGCAGGUUUGACUAUUAAUUUUAGGUUGGGGUGACCACGGAGUAAAAUAAAACCUCCGCAAUGAAAGGGACCAGCCCCUUAUUCAAGAACAACAAUUCUAAUAAUCAACAAAUUGACAUAAAUUGACCCAAAUAUUUGAUCAAUGAACCAAGUUACUCUGGGGAUAACAGCGCAAUCCAUUUCAAGAGCCCGCAUCAACAAAUGGGUUUACGACCUCGAUGUUGGAUCAGGGUAUCCUAGUGGUGCAGCCGCUACUAAAGGUUCGUUUGUUCAACGAUUAAAACCCUACGUGAUCUGANUCA
rnacentral:rRNA from 1 species